rnacentral:rRNA from 1 species
UGUUGGUAAAUCUCGUGCCAGCCACCGCGGUUAUACGAGAGGCCCUAGUUGAUUCUAACGGCGUAAAGAGUGGUUAAAAAUAAAUAAAACUAAAGCCAAAAACCUUCCAAGCUGUCGUACGCAUCCUGAAGAUAUGAAGCCCAAUAAACGAAAGUAGCUUUAUAAUAAAUUUGAACCCACGAAAGCUAAGAAACAAACUAGGAUUAGAUACCCCACUAU